rnacentral:rRNA from 1 species
GGGGAAUUUUGGACAAUGGGGGCAACCCUGAUCCAGCAAUGCCGCGUGAGUGAAGAAGGCCUUCGGGUUGUAAAGCUCUUUUGUCCGGGAAGAAACGGUCCGUGUUAAUACCAUGGGCUAAUGACGGUACUGGAAGAAUAAGAACCGGCUAACUACGUGCCAGCAGCCGCGGUAAUACGUAGGGUGCGAGCGUUAAUCGGAAUUACUGGGCGUAAAGCGUGCGCAGGCGGUUGUGCAAGACAGAUGUGAAAUCCCCGGGCUCAACCUGGGAACUGCAUUUGUGACUGCACGGCUAGAGUGUGUCAGAGGGGGGUAGAAUUCCACGUGUAGCAGUGAAAUGCGUAGAGAUGUGGAGGAAUACCGAUGGCGAAGGCAGCCCCCUGGGAUAACACUGACGCUCAUGCACGAAAGCGUGGGGAGCAAA